CUCCCUGACUCCUUGAGAGUCCUGAAGGAACGUUGAAGACGACGACGUUGAUAGGCCGGGUGUGUAAGCGCAGCGAUGCGUUGAGCUAACCGGUACUAAUGAACCGUGAGGCUUAACCUUACAACGCCGAAGCUGUU
rnacentral:rRNA from 1 species